AUGGAGAACGCCCGCCCUCGCCUCGCUCCUCCGGCCCGCCCACCAACCUACCCGGGCCCCGAUCCGCGCGGAGGGGGGGGGGAGGAAAUGGCGGUGGUCCUCGCGUGGCUCAACGCCAGGGUCGUCGAUCCCCUGCUGCAGCUCAUCCAGAGGGGCGCGGAGCCAAAGCAGCUGGCCUUCUCCGCCGCGCUCGGCGUCACCAUCGGGGUCUUCCCCAUCUGCGAUCGGCUACCCUACUCGAUAAGUAUUCUGCUCGAGUCGGCAAUCAGAAACUGCGACGAGUUCCAGGUCACGGGGAAGGACGUUGAGAAGAUCCUAGACUGGGAGAACAGUGCCACCAAGCAAGUCGAAAUCCCGUUCAAGCUAGCCCGUGUCCUCCUCAAGGAUUUCAUUGGUGUCCCAGCAGUUGUUGAUCUUGCUUGUAUGAGGGAUGCUAUGAGCAAACUUGGGAGUGACCCGAACAAAAUUAAUCCUCUGUUGCUGAUGAGUAGAGGCUGGUCAAAUCCUCGAUGUCCUACAUUGCCUGCUAUCUUAUUCAGUUUUUUUCUUCCCUGUAUCUGUCAAGCUUAG
rnacentral:rRNA from 1 species